AUGUUGUUUAGACAUGAUUGGUUAUGGAAGAAAGCACCUAGAAAGAUUACAGCACUUGUGGGUGAAAUGAUGUUGUCAUACGCUUAUGACAUGUUGUAUUGUUUAUCUUACACUUAUGAUAUGUUGUAUUGUUGUAUUGUUUAUCUUACACUUAUGAUAUGUUGUAUUAUGGUAUUGUUUAUCAUUAUAUGGUGUAUUUUACUUAUUAGUAUAAUUUCUGGAACAAGUAACAACAAUCUGAAGGCGUACGUGCCGGAGAGAACGUGCCUACGUGCCUGAGAGAAUCUUUGCCAUGGCGCGGUGGAAAAAUACCAGGUCAGAGUGACCUGAUGGCCAGCUGCAUGGGUAAGAGAGAGGGCGGGGCUGACAGUGAAAGUUUUAGAUAAAAGGCGCUGUAGGAAGCAGAGAGAUAGAGACAUCGUCCCGACGGGGGCUCCAUGGGGGGCGGCCCUGGGCCCUUUGCGAUCUCCGGACUUUUGGACUUAGAAAACUUAGAAAACUCAGAAAACUUGGAACAUCCGAUCUCCGUACUUUCGGACUUAGAGAAAUUAGAGCAUCCGAUCUCCCGACUUUUGGACUUAGAAAACUUGGAACAUCCGAUCUCCGUACUUUCGGACUUAGAGAGAUUAGAACAUCCGAUCUCAGUACUUUCGGACUUAGAAAAAUUAGGACAUCCUCUCUCCAACACGCUACAGAGAUGCGUGUCGUAGCCCGUCGGGGCAAAGAAGACUACUGGCUGUGGGACCAUUUGAUGAGAAUAUCCUGGCUGUGGGACCAUUUGAUGAGACCGACCCAACGUGCCCGAGGAGAGAUAGAGCUACCGUCGACACCGGGGAAGCGUAGUGUAGAGAGGUAAGAAUCAGGAAUCGAAAUUAUUAUAGACUUAAUCAGCUUUAUAAACAAACCCAAUUUAGGCACUAUGUUAUAGGAGAGAUAGGGAUUCCCUCUCUUUUCCUCUGUCAACACCGGCGUGGAACGCCAGCGCUGCUCACUUCUCGACGAUACGGAGCGGCCCGUAUCAGAUAGGGGCCAUCGGAGCAACAUUCCAGCGCAGCUCACCCUCCCCAAUCUGAAUCAGUGUGGGGGCCGACGACAAGGGAACAACGGUCUUUCUCUUCACACAGCUGAGGGGAGUGUUGGACGUAGUGUAGAGAGGUGAGAUAUCGGGAAUCGAAAUUAUCGUAGACAAACCCACCAAGAUGUGUUCCGGAUGUAUUUCAUAUCACUUAUUUAGAAGUGUCACUGAUGGCAUUUUAUUAGUCACUAUAUUAUAUGUCUUAACAUGCUUUUUUGAAGGCCUUCACCGCUUGCUGCAAUGUCCCAGAUAUUAAUCCUGCAAAUAAAACUAUAUUCAAACCAUUCCUUUUCAAUCAUUCCAAGGACCUGCUACGGAGGAGUGUAGGUUAGAGCUUCAGUGAACAAACUAACUGUUCUAGUAUAGGCAUCAUGGAUCUAAGAGGUUACCUAGUACAAAGAAAUCAAACAUAUCCCGGGAGUUAGUCAUACCAAACUCCUAAAACAUCUCAGCAAAUUCACCAAGUGCACGGAUCCCAGAGGAGAGCUAGCAUAACAGACGUGAUCGGUCUGCCACAUUCCUGGCUACGGGUUAUGCCCAGGGGUGGGGCACCGAGGUAAGAGGGAUAGGCGUCUGAUACAAGGUAGUUAGGGGCUGAGCGAAUCUCCUCACCAACCUGUUACAACCGUUACGGGAUACAGGUUUCACUAGCAUCGCCAUUUAGGGGGUGGUAGAAUUGACGGAUCUGACAACACACACACACACACACACACACACACAAACACACACUACUCGCUGCAAGUGCAACAUAAAAAGAGGUUUGCUGGUUAGCUAGCGACACGUGUCGCACUGGCCACAAAUAAAGAAAACCACCGUCAACUUUACAUUAAAGGAACGUGCUCGACCGUUCGGGAGCUAUACGUUUCAUAAACACAAAAUAAACCACUCGUUUUGUAUAAAAUUAAGAUAAUUAAUAAAAACGAUGGUGGAGCUCAUAACAUAGAUAUAUAUAUACUGAGUGACUAGAUAUUGCAUUCGGCUUCUAAGCAUGCGUUAACAAUGCCGCCAUCUUGCCGGCGGGAACCACCCACCUGAAUGAAUGUCAUGGGGCAGCGGUCUUUUCAGUCUAAAUCACUCUAAAACGCCUUGUCUUAAGGCAAUAUUAAAGGCACAAACACGCUUGACCGACCCGAUUGAAGAUUUCCUUUAAAAAAAAAGGCGUUUUAGAGUGAUUUAGACUGGGAAAGGACUUCUGUCCCAUCGACGUUCAUUCAUUCAGGUGGGUGGUUACCCCGCGGAAAGAUGGCGGCGGCAUUGACGUAUAUGUUCCACUGAACAGCGCAGCUCAGGCGAUGUCUAGUCAGUAUAUAUAUCUAUGAUAACUUGUGCACUUACCAAGGGGACAGUGAGGUCCGACUGCUGUACCCCCGGGGUGCACGACACAAGUCCACAGGGACGUUGCGAUAAGUGACCAUAGUAAAAUGAAUCGACAGGGAUACGUGAUGUGUGACAAUGGCAAAUGGGAUCAUAUUACAUUUUAUAUUAUCAUAAUAUAUCUUAACUCCGUUACAUAUGCAGGAAAAACCCUGAAUGACUUACCUUCAAGAUAAUUUAGCUGCUCAUUCCUCCAUUACACCUGACCACCGUUGUAAUCUUCUUGAGUUUUGGCGGACAACGAAGCGCAUGCGUCCUGUAUGCGCGUCACAAGGCGCAUGCGCGGAUUCAAAACAGGCGACACUAUUAAAACUUACUUGGUAUUUCUAGGUUCAUGUGCAAUGACUAUGAAACCUUUGAAUAUUAUGUGAAAAUACAUAAUAAAACUUACUCUUCCCACACAGUUUAUAUAUCACAUGAAUGACAUAUAUAGUUUUACUUGAAUAAUUCAAGUUCUCACUGAUACUUAUAAUUACAAAAUAAAAAUUGUGACAGUUAACCUAAUUAAUAUUACUACACCAUAAAAUCAUUUUUUUCAGUGUAGCUUCCGAGUUAUGGGACCCAGACACCCCAGACCAAUGUAGACCUGUC
rnacentral:lncRNA from 1 species